UUAGUGAUCCCCCUGUUGUUGCACCUGCACUAGAAAACUCUAACGUAUUAUCUGAAGGCCAAAUUAAUGACUCUAUCCUGAGAAUUGAGAGGAAACGCAAGGUGAAGAAGCGAGAAUCGCUAAAGAAGUUGAAGCUCAUGAGUUGCGGAUCCGCAAGGAGCUGGAGAAACAAGAAAUUAUGAGGAGAAAGACAAAAUGGACAGACAGUGGAUACAUAAUCAUAAUAGAUGUGAUGUUGAGUACUUGGAUGGAAUAGAAGAGUUCACUAAAUUCGC